UACGUAGGGUGCGAGCGUUAAUCGGAAUUACUGGGCGUAAAGCGUGCGCAGGCGGUGAUGUAAGACAGAUGUGAAAUCCCCGGGCUCAACCUGGGACCUGCAUUUGUGACUGCAUCGCUAGAGUACGGCAGAGGGGGAUGGAAUUCCGCGUGUAGCAGUGAAAUGCGUAGAUAUGCGGAGGAACACCGAUGGCGAAGGCAAUCCCCUGGGCCUGCACUGACGCUCAUGCACGAAAGCGUGGGGAGCAAACAGG
rnacentral:rRNA from 1 species